CGGCUAAUACCGCAUAAGGUCUAGAUUAGUUAGAGUCAGGACCAAAGGUGGCCUCUACAUGUAAGCUAUCGCGUUGGGAUGGGCCCAGUUAGGAUUAGCUAGUUGGUAAGGUAAUGGCUUACCAAGGCAACGAUCCUUAGCUGGUUUGAGAGGAUGAUCAGCCACACUGGGACUGAGACACGGCCCAGACUCCUACGGGAGGCAGCAGUGGGGAAUAUUGCACAAUGGGGGAGACCCUGAUGCAGCCAUGCCGCGUGUGUGAAGAAGGCCUUCGGGUUGUAAAGCACUUUCAGCAGUGAGGAAGGUCGUGUACUUAAUACGUGCACGGCUUGACGUUAGCUGCAGAAGAAGCACCGGCUAACUCCGUGCCAGCAGCCGCGGUAAUACGGAGGGUGCGAGCGUUAAUCGGAAUUACUGGGCGUAAAGCGCAUGCAGGCGGUUUGUUAAGUCAGAUGUGAAAGCCCGGGGCUCAACCUCGGAACCGCAUUUGAAACUGGCAGGCUAGAGUCUUGUAGAGGGGGGUAGAAUUUCAGGUGUAGCGGUGAAAUGCGUAGAGAUCUGAAGGAAUACCAGUGGCGAAGGCGGCCCCCUGGACAAAGACUGACGCUCAGAUGCGAAAGCGUGGGUAGCAAACAG
rnacentral:rRNA from 1 species